rnacentral:misc_RNA from 1 species
AACCUUAUGGACCUGCGGGCGUAUACCUGCGGAAGGAUCAUUAACCUUUCAAAAAACAGGGUGCGUCGCGGCCCCCCUCCGGGGGCGGUUUGGGGUCCUCCCCUUCACGCGCGCACGACUGCAUCCUUACUUUACGAGCACCUUCUGUUCUCCCUCGGCGGGGCAGCCUGCCGUUGGAACCGAAUAAACCCUUUUUUGCAUCCAGCAUUACCCGUUCCGAAACAAACAAUCGUUACAACU